UGGGGAAUAUUGCACAAUGGGCGCAAGUCUGAUGCAGCCAUGCCGCGUGUAUGAAGAAGGCCUUCGGGUUGUAAAGUACUUUCAGUCGGGAGGAAGGUGGUAAGGUUAAUAACCUUGGCAAUUGACGUUACCGACAGAAGAAGCACCGGCUAACUCCGUGCCAGCAGCCGCGGUAAUACGGAGGGUGCAAGCGUUAAUCGGAAUUACUGGGCGUAAAGCGCACGCAGGCGGUUUGUUAAGUCAGAUGUGAAAUCCCCGGGCUCAACCUGGGAACUGCAUCUGAUACUGGCAAGCUUGAGUCUCGUAGAGGGGGGUAGAAUUCCAGGUGUAGCGGUGAAAUGCGUAGAGAUCUGGAGGAAUACCGGUGGCGAAGGCGGCCCCCUGGACAAAGACUGACGCUCAGGUGCGAAAGCGUGGGGAGCAAACAGG
rnacentral:rRNA from 1 species